rnacentral:rRNA from 1 species
ACUCAAAGGAAUUGACGGGGGCCCGCACAAGCGGUGGAGCGUGUGGUUUAAUUCGAUGGUAAGCGAGGAACCUUACCAGGGCUAGAAAUUCAGCUGCAUAUUCUUGGAAACAGGAAUAGCCUUCGAGGGUGCUGAACAGGUGCUGCACGGUUGUCGUCAGCUCGUGGCGUGAGCUGUUCCCUUCAGUGGGGUAACGAGCGCAACCCUUGUCGUGUGUUACUUUUAGUCACACGAGACUGCCGUGGUUAACACGGAGGAAGGUGGGGAUGACGUCAAAUCAGCGUGGUCCUCUGACGCCCUGGGCGACACACGCGCUACAAUGGCUGGGACAAUAAGUUAUGCAAACCCGCAAGGGGGAGCCAAUCUUUGAAAACCCAGUCUCAGUUCGGAUUGAAGGCUGCAACUCGCCUUCAUGAAGCUGGAAUCGCUAGUAACCGCGAAUCAGCCACGUCGCGGUGAAUACGUUCUCGGGCUUUGUACACACCGCCCGU